rnacentral:rRNA from 1 species
AUGAACGCUGGCGGCGUGCCUAAUACAUGCAAGUCGAGCGAACAGAUGAGGAGCUUGCUCCUCUGACGUAGCGGCGGACGGGUGAGUAACACGUGGAUAACCUACCUAUAAGACUGGGAUAACUUCGGGAAACCGGAGCUAAUAACGGAUAAUAUAUUGAACCGCAUGGUUCAAUAGUGAAAGACGGUUUUGCUGUCACUUAUAGAUGGAUCCGCGCCGCAUUAGCUAGUUGGUAAGGUAACGGCUUACCAAGGCAACGAUGCGUAGCCGACCUGAGAGGGUGAUCGGCCACACUGGAACUGAGACACGGUCCAGACUCCUACGGGAGGCAGCAGUAGGGAAUCUUCCGCAAUGGGCGAAAGCCUGACGGAGCAACGCCGCGUGAGUGAUGAAGGUCUUCGGAUCGUAAAACUCUGUUAUUAGGGAAGAACAAAUGUGUAAGUAACUAUGCACGUCUUGACGGUACCUAAUCAGAAAGCCACGGCUAACUACGUG